UACGAAUGGGGCAAGCGUUGUUCGGAAUCACUGGGCUUAAAGCGUACGUAGGCGGAAAUGAAAGUCAGAAGUGAAAUCCCGGGGCUCAACCCCGGAACUGCUUUUGAAACUCCAUUUCUAGAAUCCGGGAGGGGUUAGUGGAAUUCCUAGUGUAGAGGUGAAAUUCGCAGAUAUUAGGAGGAACACCAGUGGCGAAGGCGACUGACUGGACCGGUAUUGACGCUGAGGUACGAAAGCGUGGGGAGCAAACAGG
rnacentral:misc_RNA from 1 species